rnacentral:lncRNA from 1 species
AGGCAUCAGUUCAGACACCAGAGACAGUCUCAUGUUCAAAGUACAGACUAUGGAUAUUCUGGUCAUAUUUACACAUUGAAUUGUAGUCAUUUCUUCAAAACCUUGGCAGUAAGUGAUUCUUUUUUAUUUCUUCAGUAAAGAGGUGGUUUGAUUUUAACGCCAGACUUCUUUAUUUGGAUCAACUGUUCAGUCAAGAGAAAUAUACAUGGAGCUGUUACUUCUGAUGAGCCUGAAUUCCCUCCUUCUUUUCAAUGCGUAUGUAAGUAUAUUUCUGUCUGAUGACCACAAACAUUAAGCUGAUGAAACCUUUAUGAAAGCUGAGCACAGUGAGACCUGGAGUUAGUAUAUAAUGUAUUUUGAUCACAUGCAUGUAUGAUUGUUAUUAUUUCUAUAAAACAUUGUAUAUACUGUGCAGUGUCCAUCAUUGGAGUAGCAAAAUAAUUACUUAAUGAACUAAUACAUUAAUUUGUAUCACUCUUUCAAUCAGAUUACCUCAGCAGGUAAGAUCAUUUCAAAACAAUUAUCAUAAGUCAUGUGGCUUUCAUUAAGGUUAAAGGUACAGUCAGCAACUCUAAUGCACUAAAAAAAACCUCUGUUGUUCACACACACUCCUGGCUCUGUAAAUAGCAAACAAACAUAUUGGCUUGGACUGAGACAUACACAGUUUCAGCCAAUCAACACAAUGCUUCAAAGGCACAGAAUUUGAUUGGCUGUUGAGUUGAAAUAUAAUCAAUAUAAAUCAGUAUAUUUUUUUAAUAAGAAGUAUUGCCAGUAUCGUGCUGUUGUAUGGAUUGACAAUUUUAAGUUAUGUCCCCUAUCAGAAUUGAAUUAUCUAGUGCUGCAUGCUGAAAUCAGCAUUGAGGACAAUGCAGAGGGACACUUAACAGAACUACUUCAGACCUUUCCUAAUGUCACACAUGGAAGUGAAAGUAUUAGAGAGAUUAAGACCACCAGAGAUUGCCAGGAAGUAGAUAAAACUAAUAAAUGUGAGUGCACAAAAGACUUUAAGGAGGAUGAGGACAAUGACAACCUGUGUAUCCCUGAAAAAAGAGUCUCAGUCAAAGGAGAAAUUGUCUUGAAAGAUGAACCCUAUGACAACAAACUCACAGAUCGAGCCUCUGAGGAGUUUAAAAAACUGAGCAAAAAACUGACUCAAGAGGUAUUUUUACUGGUGCUCCUGAUUAAUCAAAUAUAUAUAUAUAUUUUUAAUGUUGGACAUUAAAUGAUAUUCUUCCUAAUUCAUGAAUGCCUGCAGGGGGGGGAAUUACAUUUCUAAAUGUAGUUUUAUUUAUAACAAAACGCUUUCUGAAUGAAUCACAUUCAUUUCCCCAAUAAACUGAAUUAGACUUCCCA